UACGGAGGGGGCGAGCGUUACCCGGAUUUACUGGGCGUAAAGGGCGUGCAGGCGGUUUUCUAAGUCCGGGGCUAAAGCCCAGGGCUCAACCAUGGGUUUGCCUUGGAUACUGGAAAGCUCGACGGCUGGAGGGGGGAGCGGAAUUCCCGGAGUAGCGGUGAAAUGCGCAGAUACCGGAAAGCACGCCAAUAGCGAAGGCAGCUGCCGGGACAGCACGUGACUCUCAGGCGCGAAAGCGUGGGGAGCAAACCGG
rnacentral:rRNA from 1 species